rnacentral:rRNA from 1 species
GAUGAACGCUAGCGGCAGGCCUAACACAUGCAAGUCGAGGGGCAGCAUAAAACAAGCUUGCUUGUUUGGUGGCGACCGGCGCACGGGUGCGUAACGCGUAUGCAACCUACCCUGUACUGGGGGAUAGCCCGGAGAAAUUCGGAUUAAGACCCCAUAGUAUAUAUCAUUCGCAUGUUUGGUAUAUUAAAGGUUACGGUACGGGAUGGGCAUGCGUCCUAUUAGCUAGAUGGUGAGGUAACGGCUCACCAUGGCGACGAUAGGUAGGGGGCCUGAGAGGGUGGUCCCCCACACUGGUACUGAGACACGGACCAGACUCCUACGGGAGGCAGCAGUGAGGAAUAUUGGUCAAUGGGCGCAAGCCUGAACCAGCCAUGCCGCGUGCAGGAAGAAGGUCCUAUGGAUUGUAAACUGCUUUUAUUUGGGAAUAAACCUCUUUACGUGUAGAGAGCUGAAGGUACCAAAUGAAUAAGCACCGGCUAACUCCGUGCCAGCCGCCGCAGUAAAAC